rnacentral:rRNA from 1 species
CCUACGGGUGGCAGCAGUGGGGAAUAUUGGACAAUGGGCGAAAGCCUGAUCCAGCCAUGCCGCGUGUGUGAAGAAGGCCUUCGGGUUGUAAAGCACUUUCAGUGGGGAAGAAAGCCUUGGGGCUAAUACCCUCGAGGAAGGACAUCACCCACAGAAGAAGCACCGGCUAACUCCGUGCCAGCAGCCGCGGUAAUACGGAGGGUGCGAGCGUUAAUCGGAAUUACUGGGCGUAAAGCGCGCGUAGGCGGUCUGAUAAGCCGGUUGUGAAAGCCCCGGGCUCAACCUGGGAACGGCAUCCGGAACUGUCAGGCUAGAGUGCAGGAGAGGAAGGUAGAAUUCCCGGUGUAGCGGUGAAAUGCGUAGAGAUCGGGAGGAAUACCAGUGGCGAAGGCGGCCUUCUGGACUGACACUGACGCUGAGGUGCGAAAGCGUGGGUAGCAAACAGGAUUAGAACCCGAGUAGUC